CUGGGCGUAAAGCGCGCGUAGGUGGUUUGUUAAGUUGGAUGUGAAAGCCCAGGGCUCAACCUUGGAACUGCAUUCAAAACUGACUCCUAGAGUACGAGAGAGGUUAGUGGAAUUUCCUGUGUAGCGGUGAAAUGCGUAGAGAUGGGAAGGAACACCAGUGGCGAAGGCGACUGACUGGCUCGAUACUGACACUGAGGUGCGAAAGCGUGGGGAGCAAACAGGAUUAGAUACCCGGUAGUCCACGCCGUAAACGAUGUCUACUAGCCGUUGGAGGACUUGAUCCUUUAGUGGCGCAGCUAACGCGAUAAGUAGACCGCCUGGGGAGUACGGUCGCAAGAUUAAAACUCAAAUGAAUUGACGGGGGCCCGCACAAGCGGUGGAGCAUGUGGUUUAAUUCUAAGCAACGCGAAGAACCUUACCUACUCUUGACAU
rnacentral:rRNA from 1 species